AUCAUUAUCAGCGUUAUCACCAUC
rnacentral:siRNA from 1 species